ensembl:lncRNA
GAAUUUUAGAUGCACCUCAGAAGAUGCCCCAGACACAGGCCUCCUUUUGGCAUUCCUCUGGAGGAAUCAAACCAUCGUUGACAUUGAAAUGUGGAAUUCUCAGCAGAAACAGGCUAGUUUCCAUCUAAUAGGAGUCCAGGAGAGAGACUCGGGCAACUAUGGCUGUGUGGUAUCAGAGCAACCGCUUGCUGCAACAGAGUUGGACAUGUGUGGAGGGAAUUCAGUCUUCCUGCAGGUUUACGGUAAGAAUUGCAAAAAUAUUAACACCAUGCCUCAAACAAAAGUGUUUAUUAUGAGAAGGCUAGUAUGUCAGUACAUGCAGACUAUACAAUUCUUACAGGCAGCACUUCAGCAAGCUCUGCAGGCUCUGUAUCUUAAAGCAAAUCCUUUUUUUUUUUUUAAGUCGAUCUGCACCAUCUUCAUUACCCAAGCUUUGCAACAAACAUUUUAGUAUUCACACCCUGUUACACUUUGAAUAUGUCAAAUAAAGCUUUACUUUUGAUGCUCACACAAAAAAGCAAAUGUUUGUUCAAUUUAAAAACAGGGAAACCAAAUGAAGAGUCACCUGCCCCCCCAUCCGGUUGCAUAAUGAUGGCCGCUCAGUUUCUGCUAAUCCCCCUGCUUCUUCUUGCGCUGCUGAUUUUACUGAUGUGGAAGAAAGGUACCACUAAACAUAGUUCCUUGUUUCAGUGCCUGUUCUCACAAUUCUCACUGGUGCCAUCUGCAAAUACCCUAUUUGACACUUUGACUUUUGUGUUCACAGGGACAUUCAGGCGAUGGAAACCUCCACAGAGCACAACUGAGCAGCAUUGUCUAUAUUUGGCUAACACAGGACUGCCUGCAUAUGGACGAUCACUUGAGGCAACUAGUGAAGAGCCUGCUGUGGACAGGACUGAUACGGGUACGCUGGUCACAUUUCUAUUUCUAUUUCUGUUUCUGAUAUUGUCAAUUAGCAUCUCAUACUCUUCUGUUUUUUUCAUUCCCAUAUGUUUGUCACCCAUGCAGCUGCUCACAUUAAACAGUCUGCUUGGAGUGUUUCAGUGUUAAAGGAAUGAAUGGGGUCAUUACUGGGCUAUUCCUUCGCAAACUAUGAGAGGGAAAAAUGGAGCAGAUAAAGUUACAGUUUAACUUUCUUUUUCACACAGAAAAUGUCUACCAGGAUAAAUACAAUGACGAGGUAAGACGAAAUUCACUCUAAGAAUGAUUAAAUCCAGAAAAUGAACAUUCAGAUCUCUGCUGUUUUGGCCAUUCAUUGUGUGGGAUGGUUAUUGUCCUGUUGUGAGUUGGUAUCAAACUGCAGUAGCACUGUGAUGAAAAGGGCACAUAAUGAUUGGCUGAUGCAUUUCACACAGCAUCUCAUGCAUGUCUCUCUUUACCUGUCUGUCUUCUUCUCUCUCAACAAAAAGUUCAGGAUGACUGGAAGUACGUUGCCAUGGUGAUUGACAGGAUAUUCCUGUGGGUCUUCAUCCUGGUGUGCAUUCUGGGAACAACAGGCCUCUUCCCGCAGCCCCUUCUCCUUGCGGAGGACAUGUGACCCAGACUCUUUCGCCAUCUCAAUCAAAGCUAUACGCUUGCACUGAGCAAAGGCCAGGCCAGGCCAUAGAGCCAUCAUCCGACUGAUCUGGAAACAGUUGUUUUUUUAUUACUUGACCAGGCCUUGUUCAGCCUCAACCGCAGCUUACAGAAAGUGCAAUGGACUGAAGCAGACUCCAUUUAAAGUAUCAAUGUAUUUACAUCACAAAGGUUUUGAAAACCUCAAUGGGACUACUACCUCUCUUCUCUGUUACGGUCACUCUGCUUUGUUAAACUGCAAAGACUAGCGAGGCAGGAGUGCCUCCAUCAAACUGCUGCCCAUAGGGAAGGUUUAAAGAGUGACGGUCUUAAAGCUAACAGUUCACUUUGCUUCACAUUUUUGGUGCCUACUGUAUCUACAGUCUAAAUAACUCACCCUAUCCAAUUCAGCUACUGCUUGCGUCAACAGUUGUCUCUGUCUGUACGGUAGCAUUUGUUUGUGGUAAAUUGUUGUGAGCUAUUCUGUACAUUGGAA